rnacentral:rRNA from 1 species
UGGGGAAUUUUGGACAAUGGGCGCAAGCCUGAUCCAGCCAUGCCGCGUGAGUGAAGAAGGCCUUCGGGUUGUAAAGCUCUUUCGGCGGGGAAGAAAUGGCACGGGUUAAUACCCUGUGUCGAUGACGGUACCCGCAUAAGAAGCACCGGCUAACUACGUGCCAGCAGCCGCGGUAAUACGUAGGGUGCGAGCGUUAAUCGGAAUUACUGGGCGUAAAGCGUGCGCAGGCGGUUGUAUAAGUCAGAUGUGAAAGCCCCGGGCUCAACCUGGGAACUGCAUUUGAGACUGUACGGCUAGAGUUUGGCAGAGGGGGGUGGAAUUCCACGUGUAGCAGUGAAAUGCGUAGAGAUGUGGAGGAACACCGAUGGCGAAGGCAGCCCCCUGGGCCAAUACUGACGCUCAUGCACGAAAGCGUGGGGAGCAAACA